rnacentral:rRNA from 1 species
UACGAAGGGGGCUAGCGUUGCUCGGAAUCACUGGGCGUAAAGCGCACGUAGGCGGCUUUUUAAGUCAGAGGUGAAAUCCUGGAGCUCAACUCCAGAACUGCCUUUGAUACUGGAGAGCUUGAGUCCGGGAGAGGUGAGUGGAACUGCGAGUGUAGAGGUGAAAUUCGUAGAUAUUCGCAGGAACACCAGUGGCGAAGGCGGCUCACUGGCCCGGUACUGACGCUGAGGUGCGAAAGCGUGGGGAGCAAACAGG